rnacentral:rRNA from 1 species
AUUGAACGCUAGCGGGAUGCUUUACACAUGCAAGUCGAACGGCAGCGCGGACUUCGGUCUGGCGGCGAGUGGCGAACGGGUGAGUAAUGUAUCGGAACGUGCCCAGUAGCGGGGGAUAACUACGCGAAAGCGUAGCUAAUACCGCAUACGCCCUACGGGGGAAAGCAGGGGAUCGUAAGACCUUGCACUUUUGGAGCGGCCGAUAUCGGAUUAGCUAGUUGGUGAGGUAACGGCUCACCAAGGCGACGAUCCGUAGCUGGUUUGAGAGGACGACCAGCCACACUGGGACUGAGACACGGCCCAGACUCCUACGGGAGGCAGCAGUGGGGAAUUUUGGACAAUGGGGGCAACCCUGAUCCAGCCAUCCCGCGUGUGCGAUGAAGGCCUUCGGGUUGUAAAGCACUUUUGGCAGGAAAGAAACGUCGCGGGCUAAUACCCCGUGGAACUGACGGUACCUGCAGAAUAAGCACCGGCUAACUACGUG